AAAGGGAAGCACUGAACGUGAGAGGGGGUCCUGUUCGGGGAUGCCCCACAUCACUUUUGGUCCCUACUUGCCUGGGUUACCACGGAGCUGAAGCCCACUUCACAGUACCGCUUGUCUCCGUCUAGAGAAGGCGAGGAAAAGGGAUCAGCAAAGGGGCGGAAUAUGAAGGAUACUCUCCAACCUGGAGCCUGGAGGGAGCGGAAUGCGGUAGGAACCCAGCCUUGGGGAGCGGUGUGGAGGCGUGGCUUUGAUCAGAAGGGGCGGGGCCAGGAGCUGAGCUGACGCCUGAUUGAAACAAGGACCUGGGAACAAGACCUAGAGAGCUGACCGCUUAAGGGCCCAGCUAAAGGGCAGCGCGUGGGAGGAGCCAAAACGAAGGGCGGAGCUUACAAAAAAAAUUUUCUGCAUAAACUCGGCUCAUGGUAUUGGACCGACAGGGACGUUCCAGUGUUGCCAGGGAGCGCAGGCCUGGAGCAGGGCCACAAUAUAGUGGAGAAUGGCAUGAGAUUCAGGCUACCCCACGUGUCCCUGUUCCCCGACCCCGACGGCUCCUGGUGUCCUGUCUGCAGCGCCUACCACAAUUACGUCUUUCCAGCUGACCACCGACGCCCCAAGUCCUUGCCGGGCCUUGAAGGGACUCACUGAAAUUGAAGGACAGCGGGGAGCACUGGCCACCCGCAGCAUUCCAGGGGCACAGGAACACGCCGCCAGUUUCCUCCUGGUUUGGGCCCAGGUUCCGCGGGGCGCCCACCACGAUGGCCACUCUGUAGAAAAGCUGGAUGAGCGUGGAGCAAAUUUCUGCAUAUUCUGCCUGGUAGCCCGCCCUGGGAGCAGUGCUGGGAAGGCCAUGUGGCCCCGGGAACACUGGAUCAUCUUUCUCACCGAUCUUCAUUUUAUGGACAGUGAAAUGGACUUUCAGUAAGGGAAUUCACAUGCCUAUUGUAACCCAGUGAACUGGACUAAAACCAUUUGGUUUGAUUUGAACACCAAAUGGUGUUUCUCUUCUGCUGAAAAAAGUACUCUAGAACUCUGAUCACUGUCUCCACCCUCCUACUACCAACAAAAACCAGAGGUUCACAUGCUUUCUGGAAUGCCUAUUUAGACUGUCACUAGA